rnacentral:rRNA from 1 species
CAGCCGCCACGGUAAUACGUAGGGUGCGAGCGUUAAUCGGAAUUACUGGGCGUAAAGAGCUCGUAGGCGGUUUGUCACGUCGUCUGUGAAAUCCUAGGGCUUAACCCUGGACGUGCAGGCGAUACGGGCUGACUUGAGUACUACAGGGGAGACUGGAAUUUCUGGUGUAGCGGUGGAAUGCACAGAUAUCAGGAAGAACACCGAUGGCGAAGGCAGGUCUCUGGGUAGUAACUGACGCUGAGGAGCGAAAGCAUGGGUAGCAAACAGGAUUAGAUACCCCAGUAGUCCCUGUCUCUUAUAC